rnacentral:lncRNA from 1 species
AACAAUGCUAUUAAGCAGUACUACACAAGAAAUGUAGUGAACAAUAUUUCAGAGCCUAACUUGAUUCAUUUUCUAGUAACAUUGGAGAAUACACCAUUUUGCCAAGUGCAACUCACACUGAUUUUACUUUCUUUGGUAUGCUCUGGGCUUUUUAUUGUUGUUUUUAAAACUUCCAUUGAGGUAUAUCCUUUAGUAAGAAUUGCAGAAUUUAAGAUGAUGAAGAGUCUCAUCUGACAGGGAGAAAGUGUUUUCCAGUGCUUGCUCCAGGCCACUUCAAAUGAUGGAAUCUUACAAUUUAUCUUAAGAGAACUCUCAAUAUGAUAUCUAUGUUUAAGAUACGUGGGGCAGGGAGGAGGUCAGGGAGGGAAAAUCUGUGCUUAUGAGUAUGUAACUUCAGGUGGAUGGAGCUGAGCUGAAUGUAUAUAAAAUUUGGAGAUCUCCCCCACUAACCUAACAGGAAAUCUAUAUCAAUCCCUGAUUUCUUAUGCUGAUCUUUGUAAAAUACAAUACUUGUUUCUACUUACAGUUUGGUUCCAGAGAAGAAAUUAAUUGUGACCUAAAGAAGUCCUUGCUUACAACAUUUGGAGGUGCUCAAGGCAGAUGGACAUCCUUCCUGUCUGAAUGGUGACGGGCUUUCUCCAGGCUGGUGAGAAUGUUGUUCCACAGGACCAUCCAGUCAAGGAGGACACGCGAAGGGACCUUCCACCAUUCUCUUCUAAGACAAAGCUUAGCAAGGAACAGGGAAGAGAGAGGACAGAGAGGGAGCAGAAGAGUGAGUGCAAGAGUUGCAUCAAUGUAACCCUAAUCUGGGGUCACAAGAAGAUAGAAAAAGGUUUGCUCUUGCUAGGGAGGCUCGGGAUUGAGCCUUAUACCCCAUGCACUAUUUUCUGCAACUGUUUUGCAAUGUUUAUUAUGCUGAAAGGAAAUGUAAACAUCUGUUACACUUAUGCACUGGGGCGCUUGAAUUAUGCAUUUCCAAGAACUCGAUGUGCAGUUUGAUCAUCUCCUGUGUUCCCCACAUAGAGAAUCUGAGAUGCAAAGGGAGGAGGGGGGGAUACGGCUGUUCCCACAUACAGGAUUUUACCAGAGCAGAACCGUAACAGGCACUGCAUCUGCUCUAGCAGAAGGACCUGUACGAAUACACGCAGAGAAUUUACAGGAUUUGUCUUUUCCCAAAGGAAAAGACCAAAGAAUUGCAUUCUUCUGGAGGGUUAUUUAACUUUUUUUUUUUUUCCCCACACACAAUCGUAAGGCAUAAAUUGAUUUUCGGAGCGUCUGAAGUUCUCGGUGUGGUCCCGUGUCUCCUUAAAGGGGGCAAUAAGAGCUCCAAGAACCUGCACGGAGGGAGGCACCCUCGCUGCGAAUAGGAGCCGUAUCCCGAUGGCCCCGCUCCGGUGCCAGCCCGCCCAGACCCG